rnacentral:rRNA from 1 species
AUGAACGCUAGCAGAACGCCUAAUACAUGCAAGUCAAACGGCCAGCAAUGGCAGUGGCAAACGGGCGAGUAACACGUACUUAACCUGCCCAGAAGUUGUGGAUAACCAUAGAGAUAUGGCUAAUCCCCAAUAAUCCCUGAUGAAUGAAAAUAGUCAGGGCAAAGAUUUAUCGCUUUUGGAGGGGGGUGCGACCUAUCAGGUAGUUGGUGAGGUAACGGCUCACCAAGCCUAUGACGGGUAGCCGGUCUGAGAGGAUGUCCGGCCGCAAUGGAACUGAGACACGGUCCAUACUCCUACGGGAGGCAGCAGUAGGGAAUAUUGGACAAUGGGCGAAAGCCUGAUCCAGCGAUUCUGCGUGGAGGAUGAAGCAUUACGGUGUGUAAACUCCUUUUCUGGUGGAAGACGAAUGACGGUACACCAGGAAUAAGCAUCGGCUAACUAUGU